GGUGUUGUGGCUCAGUGGCAGAGUGCUUGCCUUGCAUGUGUGAGGCACUGGGUUUGAUCCUCAGCAACACAU
rnacentral:tRNA from 1 species